rnacentral:rRNA from 1 species
UACGUAGGGGGGCAAGCGUUGUCCGGAUUUAUUGGGCGUAAAAGAGCGUGUAGGCGGCCAGGUAGGUCCGCUGUGAAAAACUCGAGGCUCAAACCUCGAGAUGUCGGCGGAAAACCAUCUGGCUAGAGUCCGGAAGAGGAGAGUGGAAAUUCCUGGUGUAGCGGUGAAAUGCGCAGAUAUCAGGAGGAACACCGGUGGCGAAAGGGCGGGGGUCUCUGGGGGCCCGAUACUGACUGAGGGAGCGAAAAAGCGUGG